CCUGCCUACGGGACGCAGCAGUCGGGAAUAUUGCUCAAUGGGGGAAACUCUGACGCAGUGACGCCGCGUGCAGGAAGAAGGUUUUCGGAUUUUAAACUGCUUUAGACAGGGAAGAAACAAGACAGUACCUGUAGAAUAAGCUCCGGCUAACUACGUGCCAGCAGCCGCGGUAAUACGUAGGGAGCAAGCGUUAUCCGGAUUUAUUGGGUUUAAAGGGUGCGUAGACGGGAAAACAAGUUAGUUGUGAAAUCCCUCGUCUUAACUGAGGAACUGCAACUAAAACUAUUUUUCUUGAGUGUUGGAGA
rnacentral:rRNA from 1 species